rnacentral:rRNA from 1 species
UGGCGAGUGGCGAACGGGUGAGUAAUAUAUCGGAACGUACCCUAGAGUGGGGGAUAACGUAGCGAAAGUUACGCUAAUACCGCAUACGAUCUAAGGAUGAAAGUGGGGGAUCGCAAGACCUCAUGCUCGUGGAGCGGCCGAUAUCUGAUUAGCUAGUUGGUAGGGUAAAAGCCUACCAAGGCAUCGAUCAGUAGCUGGUCUGAGAGGACGACCAGCCACACUGGAACUGAGACACGGUCCAGACUCCUACGGGAGGCAGCAGUGGGGAAUUUUGGACAAUGGGCGAAAGCCUGAUCCAGCAAUGCCGCGUGAGUGAAGAAGGCCUUCGGGUUGUAAAGCUCUUUUGUCAGGGAAGAAACGGUGAGAGCUAAUAUCUCUUGCUAAUGACGGUACCUGAAGAAUAAGCACCGGCUAACUACGUGCCAGCAGCCGCGGUAAUACGUAGGGUGCAAGCGUUAAUCGGAAUUACUGGGCGUAAAGCGUGCGCAGGCGGUUUUGUAAGUCUGAUGUGAAAUCCCCGGGCUCAACCUGGGAAUUGCAUUGGAGACUGCAAGGCUAGAAUCUGGCAGAGGGGGGUAGAAUUCCACGUGUAGCAGUGAAAUGCGUAGAUAUGUGGAGGAACACCGAUGGCGAAGGCAGCCCCCUGGGUCAAGAUUGACGCUCAUGCACGAAAGCGUGGGGAGCAAACAGGAUUAGAUACCCUGGUAGUCCACGCCCUAAACGAUGUCUACUAGUUGUCGGGUCUUAUUUGACUUGGUAACGCAGCUAACGCGUGAAGUAGACCGCCUGGGGAGUACGGUCGCAAGAUUAAAACUCAAAGGAAUUGACGGGGACCCGCACAAGCGGUGGAUGAUGUGGAUUAAUUCGAUGCAACGCGAAAAACCUUUACCUACCCUUUGACAUGG